UGCACAUGGAGCACGUACUGAGUGUGUCAACAUUUUUUUCAAAAAUUCUGUCCUGAAGGCUUUUCAUGCCUCUCUGUUUGUUGGCCUUGCUCUGAAGGUUAAAACCUGUCAGCAGCAGCAGCAGCCAAAAUCUGUGUUGGACCAUCUCUGAGCACUGCAGAGCACACCCCACCUCCUGCCCACCCUUCAGGGGUGCACAGACCCCUCCUCAGCUGGUUCUGGCCUCUGAGGGAUUUAAUCAGAAUAUCAGUUGACUUUUACAGCCUCUUCAGUGCUCCCCAAGGCUUCAUAUCACACCUAAAUGCUCAUUUUCACCACCUGAAGAUAUUUUCUGACCUGAAUGGUUCUAUGAACCUG